rnacentral:rRNA from 1 species
GACGAACGCUGGCGGCGUGCCUAACACAUGCAAGUCGAACGAAGCUGCUAAAAGGAAGUCUUCGGACAGAAUUUUAGUAGACUUAGUGGCGGACGGGUGAGUAACGCGUGGAUAACCUGCCUUAUACAGGGGGAUAACGGAGAGAAAUUUCCGCUAAGACCGCAUAAGGCCACAGCACCGCAUGGUGCAGGGGUAAAAUAUUUAUAGGUAUAAGAUGGAUCCGCGUCCGAUUAGCUAGUUGGUGAGGUAAAGGCCCACCAAGGCGACGAUCGGUAGCCGGCCUGAGAGGGUGAACGGCCACAUUGGGACUGAGACACGGCCCAAACUCCUACGGGAGGCAGCAGUGGGGAAUAUUGGACAAUGGGGGAAACCCUGAUCCAGCGACGCCGCGUGAGUGAAGAAGUAUUUCGGUAUGUAAAGCUCUAUCAGCAGGGAAGAAAAUGACGGUACCUGACUAAGAAGCCCCGGCUAACUACGUGCCAGCAGCCGCGGUAAUACGUAGGGGGCAAGCGUUAUCCGGAUUUACUGGGUGUAAAGGGAGCGCAGACGGCGAAGCAAGUCUGAAGUGAAAUGCAUGGGCUCAACCCAUGAAUUGCUUUGGAAACUGUUUGGCUUGAGUGUCGGAGGGGUAAGCGGAAUUCCUAGUGUAGCGGUGAAAUGCGUAGAUAUUAGGAGGAACACCGGAGGCGAAGGCGGCUUACUGGACGACGACUGACGUUGAGGCUCGAAGGCGUGGGGAGCAAACAGG